CCUACGGGAGGCAGCAGUGAGGAAUAUUGGUCAAUGGACGCGAGUCUGAACCAGCCAAGUCGCGUGCGGGAAGAAGGCCCUCCGGGUCGUAAACCGCUUUAGCCGGGGAGUAACGUGGGGGUCGUGACCCUCAGUGAGAGUACCCGGAGAAUAAGCAUCGGCUAACUCCGUGCCAGCAGCCGCGGUAAU
rnacentral:rRNA from 1 species